rnacentral:rRNA from 1 species
UACAGAGGUGGCAAGCGUUGUUCGGAAUUACUGGGCGUAAAGGGCGCGUAGGCGGCCCGCUAAGUCGAACGUGAAAUCCCCGAGCUCAACUCGGGAACUGCGUCCGAUACUGGCGGGCUUGAAUCCGGGAGAGGGAUGCGGAAUUCCAGGUGUAGCGGUGAAAUGCGUAGAUAUCUGGAGGAACACCGGUGGCGAAGGCGGCAUCCUGGACCGGCAUUGACGCUGAGGCGCGAAAGCUAGGGGAGCAAACGGG